rnacentral:lncRNA from 1 species
CUUGGCACCUUAGAAAUGUCCCUAUCCUGCUGGAAAGAGGCAAGCUCUUACUUUCACAAAUUGACUGGGAAUUUGUUCAGUGAUAAGAAAUAGCAAAUGAAUCACCAAGCAUUAACUUUGUUUUUAGUCAAGAUGUAUGUGAAUGAACAGAUGUCCACUCAAAUUUUGUUCUCUGAACUGGAUUAUGUACUUCGGAGAAAGCUUGCUGUGUGUGUAUUCCCAGAAGCUGAUUUUUGAGCAUAAAAUAAAUCAACUGGCUUUUUGCUUUGCUUUGUAAUUCCUAAAAUUUAAAAUGGUAAGAAAAUUUUACAGUUUCUAUUGGAAAAAUAUAUUUAGCACAAAGGUAGUUUGAAGUCCAAGUUACUUAUGAUAUUUGUUAAAUUCC